GAGAAAAAAACUAUAUUAUUAUAACAUCAUUAUCAGCUAGAUGUAGGUUGUUUAUUUUGAAUUUAGAAUGUAUAUCAUAAAUUAGGUUUAUUGUGAAAAUGGAAUUUGUUAUAGAUAAUGUAUUAGUCAUGAAAAUAUUUCAAGAAGACGUCCGCGUCUUCUUGAUCGUUAUCAUAUCCGCAUGAUAGUGACAAAUUAUUUCAUAUACUGCAGACAAGUGCAGGAAGUGGCUUACGCAAUGUUAUGUAUUAAUGUGCUCUGUAUUAGGAAAAUCUAUACCUAGAUAUUUUCACAGAAGCGUGCGGCGUGCGUGGCGGUGCUACGUUGUGGGUGAGCAGGAUAUUCUGUGGCUUGAGGUCCCGGUGCACGAUGCCCUUCGCGUGGAUGGCUCGCAUCGCCUCGGCCAGUUGCCUCAGGAACAGCCGGAUGGUGCUUUCACUGAGCAGACGGUUCGCUUGCAAAUAGUCCGCCAGGUCACCCCCGUUGCAGUACUGAACAAAUAAAACAAACGAUUCUUACAAUCUGUUGGCCAAUGGAGCCAUUGGAAUGAAUCCAGGAACGUUUUUUAACCACGUCAGUGAACGUCAAAGGGGAAAAAAUAAGUAACACCGACUCAAUAUUUAUGGAAGUGAUAGAUGUAUUUUAAGUGACUUCCCAACGCGAGGGAGGUCCUCAAUUAGUCGACAAAGUACGUAUAUUUUUGGUGUACUUAAAAACAACCUUCUGUUAGAUACCUAAAUAAAAUUUUGGGAAUUGUA